rnacentral:lncRNA from 1 species
CCCACCUGCACAUGUCACACUGACCACAUCUGUAGACAUCUUGAGUUGUAGCUGCAGAUGGGGACCAGUGGCUCCCAUUUUCAUUUUAGCCAUUUUGUCGCCUGCACCCACUCCCUUCAUACAAUCUAGUCAGAAUAGCAGUUCUAGAGCACAGGUUCUCAGUCUAAGCUGUGGAAAAGCUCCCCUUAUCCAACAGAGUU